UGUGUACUCCCUCCGUUCCAAAAUACUUGACUUCCAUUUGUCCAAAAAUGGAUGUGCCUAUAUACUAAAACAUGUCUAGAUACACAUAUAUUUUGACAAAUAGAAGGCAUGUAUUGUGCAACGGAGGGAGUAUAAU
rnacentral:pre_miRNA from 1 species